AUGAACGCUGGCGGCGUGCCUAAUACAUGCAAGUCGAGCGAACGGACGAGAAGCUUGCUUCUCUGAUGUUAGCGGCGGACGGGUGAGUAACACGUGGAUAACCUACCUAUAAGACUGGGAUAACCUCGGGAAACCGGAGCUAAUACCGGAUGAUAUUUUGAACCGCAUGGUUCAAAAGUGAAAGACGGUCUUGCUGUCACUUAUAGAUGGAUCCGCGCUGCAUUAGCUAGUUGGUAAGGUAACGGCUUACCAAGGCAACGAUGCAUAGCCGACCUGAGAGGGUGAUCGGCCACACUGGAACUGAGACACGGUCCAGACUCCUACGGGAGGCAGCAGUAGGGAAUCUUCCGCAAUGGGCGAAAGCCUGACGGAGCAACGCCGCGUGAGUGAUGAAGGUCUUCGGAUCGUAAAACUCUGUUAUUAGGGAAGAACAUAUGUGUAAGUAACUGUGCACAUCUUGACGGUACCUAAUCAGAAAGCCACGGCUAACUACGUG
rnacentral:rRNA from 1 species